rnacentral:lncRNA from 1 species
UGUAUGUGCUCUAAUAUGUUGAAUAUAAAAGGGAUGCUCACACAUCAAAACACAAUCCGGUAUUUUCAUCAAAAUUUCAGAUACUGGACUAGACUGCUUAAAAUUUCCAGCGGUCUCUAAUGCUAAUACAGCAUUAACCACAUAAACAGAAUCAGAGAUAAUAUUUAUUAUUAUAGAGAUAAUAUUAUUUAUUUAUUUUAAUUUUAUUUAUUUUUAUUAAAUAUACUGUCUUUUAAUAUUUAUUAAAUAUUUUAUUAUUAAAUAUACUAUUAUAUUAUAAAUAAUGUUAAAUAUUUAUUAUUUAUUAAUAUUAUAGAGAUAAUAUUUAUUCUCAAGCCUACUCUUUUUACCCUUUAAACACUGCUUUUGCAUAUGACCUAUUUAUCCACUGACCUUGACCUGUAAGCAUUUCAAAGCUCCAUGCUGGUUGCCCUGCAGUAGCAUUAGCACGGGCCUGACUCAAAACACAGAUCAUGCCAUAUAGACUUCCAGUCUAGAUACUGUCCCAUUGUAAGACAUGCCUUUACCACACUCACCCAAUCAGAAUGAGUCAUGGCAUGGUGAGCCAGUCUAUCAAUUUGGGACUGAGUAAAAGAGGCAUUGACUCCAUGAGUCCUUACUGACUCUGCUAAAUCUUUCACUUGUUUAUGUGAUAUUGGCUCAUAAUGUCACUGUUGAGCUUGAUCCUAUAAAACAGGAAAAGCCUGACAUAUUUUUCGCAAUCCUUUAGGAGUGCAAAAAGAGUGGCCACUGCCAAUUGUUUUCUUUUCUGUGUAAGGCGGAGGUGGUGGGGGAACACUGCGACUCCUCCCUAUUGGACCACAUCUUUCUGCCUCAUACUCUGCAGCAGCCUCCUCUAAUUCUUCCUCCUCCCCUACUGAUAAUUCCGAGUCCUCCGAGCUAGAUAAUUCUAGUAACUCAAAGUCCUCUAGAGGAGGGUAAAUUAACUUAAUUUUUUGAUCUUCAUUCUUUAUAUUAUCUUUUGUUUCUUUAUAUUUUAUUUUAUUUUCAUUUUCUCUUUUUAUAUUUCUUAUUUUACUUAUUUUUCUGCGCGCGCGUCUUCCUUUUCAUUUCUCUGUUUCUGACAUACUUUCCUGGUGCUCCUGCAAAAGUCGCUGCCCUUCCUUAACAGCUGGCUCACAUUUCUUGUCCUGGAUACAAGCCUUAAUCAGCUUCCAUAAAGGCCUUGUUCCUGCUUUUCACUUUCCCUUCUGCCUCCUCUCUCGCUAUAUCUCUCCCUAGCUUUUCCCAACUAGGUAGCAUCAGCGACCCAGUGGAGACAAACCAAGGAGCGAGUCUCUCGCUUUUAAAAACCCUCUCACUGUACUUUCAGAAACCUUUAAACCUCGUUCUUUGAGCAAGGCUUGCACCAGCUCCACUAACGGCAUAGACUGGCCGGUACCCAUACUCGUCCUGGACCGAAGCGUCCUUAAGAUACUCACUUAUCUACGUGAGUUCUUAGCCCCAAGGUCGACUCACAAGUUUAUCUACACUAGUUUUAUGAUCUUUUGUAUCUGUCUAGCUAUUCCCAGCAGAUACACUCGUGUCCAGGGCGAUGACAAUUAAGGCAAUGGCAUAAUAUCAAGGUAAGAAAGAAAGCAAGCAACACAACCCCAGCGACAAUUACCAGAUCUAUUCCGUAGGAAAGCAUACCUCUCAGAGACUUAUAUUAAUUUCUUUUUACUUACCGGUACCACCGUUCCCCAGCUGAAGAGUUCUGAAUCCACGCAGUUGAAUCCUUCUCAACAGUCUGCUUUGCGGGAACACUACAUUAACCGCUCCAUCCCGGUGAUGCAGUUCUGAAUCCUCCCUGUAACAGGGGGUCUUCGCUCGUGCCUGAAGAUGUUUCUUCCCGGGUUUCGGCACCACUUUGUAGACCCCCGACUCCCCAGCAAGAAAGAUGCCACGACAGGAUCCUUCUGCAACACGUUUAUUGGGAGAGCUUUUACUGUGAAUGGAAAGACCCCGAGCCCCAGAACUGGCGUUGCUUAUAUAGGCCUAGGAGAGCCAUGUCUACAUCUGAUUGAUUAUGCUUUCAGUACCUCAUUAACAUGCCUCGGGCCAGGUAGUGACUUGGCAAAAAACUCUUAUGCACAUGCGCACAUUGGUUGCUUACGCAUAUUCAUGGGCAUUGGCUUAUUGAAACCAGCGCCAUCUUGUAAUGGCAUAUGUGGCUUCCCACAGCUGUGAUAAAUGCUACGACC